AGGAUUAUAAUUUAAAUAAAAUAUUUGAUUUGCACUCAAAAAAUAUUGAAUUAUUCAAUUUAUCUU
rnacentral:tRNA from 1 species